rnacentral:rRNA from 1 species
UACGGGGGGGGCAAGCGUUGUUCGGAAUUACUGGGCGUAAAGGGCUCGUAGGUGGCCAACUAAGUCAGACGUGAAAUCCCUCGGCUUAACCGGGGAACUGCGUCUGAUACUGGAUGGCUUGAGUUUGGGAGAGGGAUGUGGAAUUCCAGGUGUAGCGGUGAAAUGCGUAGAUAUCUGGAGGAACACCGGUGGCGAAGGCGGCAUCCUGGACCGGCAUUGACGCUGAGGCGCGAAAGCCAGGGGAGCAAACGGG